rnacentral:lncRNA from 1 species
GAAGAGAUAAUGAAGAAAAGAUAAAAAAAAAUAGUUUUCUUUUUGUUACAAAAAAUUUCAAAAAAUAAUAAAAUAAUAUUUAAAUACAACUAAUUCAUUGAACUAAAAAUUUGUCAAAAAUGACCACAACACGUCUUCCUUCAAAUUCGAAUUUGACAUAAGCUUUUUGACUAACCCGUUGGAGAUGCUCUGAUCGAGUAAAGGUGACCCUUUUGUCCUUUACGACAAACUACUCCAUCAUAAUUAAAUCAAGAUAUUUUUCUCUAUUCAAAGGCCAAUGUAUUAUAUAUGAACUGACUUCACUCUUCAACAUUCAUCGUGAGGUCAGAGUGAUAAGGUUGAAGCAAAGCAAAGAAAAUGGAGAAGCUUGUUCCAAACUGGUACAGUGCUGCUCAACCCUUGCCUGAGACUUGCAUAUUCCCACCUGAUGCAAGACCAGGGAAGUUUAGCAUUGCUCCUUCAAGGUCCGACAUUCCAGUGAUUGAUAUAGGAUAUAUCACAAGGUCAUGAUCGAGCUCGUAUAAUCCAGCAAAUACUUGAGGCUAGCCAAGAAUUCGGAUUCUUUCAGGUCAAUUUAAUUGUCUGUCUGGCUUUUCUUUCUUUUCUUGGUCGCCAAGAUUUCUAGCUUUUUUUGCUAUUAGCUGCAAUUUUCACUUAGUUACUCCUAUAUCAUCAUGAUCAUGGUAAUCAACCAUUGCAUACCAGAAGCUUUGAUGAAUGACACAAUGGAUGUGCUGAAGGAGUUCUUUGAGUUGCCUCUAGAGGAAAAGAGGGCAAGCAUCUACUGA